CCUACGGGAGGCAGCAGUGAGGAAUAUUGGUCAAUGGGCGGGAGCCUGAACCAGCCAAGCCGCGUGAGGGAAGAAGGUACCGCGCAUUGUAAACUUCUUUUGUCAGGGAACAAAAUCGGGCACUAGUCCCCGGCCGAGGGUACUUGAAGAAAAAGCAUCGGCUAACUCCGUGCCAGCAGCCGCGGUAAUACGGAGGAUGCGAGCGUUAUCCGGAUUUAUUGGGUUUAAAGGGUGCGCAGGCGGCCUGUUAAGUCAGCGGUAAAAGCCCGGGGCUCAACCCCGGCGAGCCGUUGAAACUGGCGGUCUGGAGUUGGAGAGAGGUACGCGGAAUGCGCGGUGUAGCGGUGAAAUGCUUAGAUAUCGCGCAGAACCCCGAUUGCGAAGGCAGCAUACCGGCGCCGAUCUGACGCUGAGGCACGAAAGCGUGGGUAUCGAACAGGAUUAGAUACCCGAGUAGUC
rnacentral:rRNA from 1 species